CCUACGGGCGGCAGCAGUGAGGAAUAUUGGUCAAUGGCCGGAAGGCUGAACCAGCCAAGCCGCGUGAAGGACGAAGGUGCCAAGCAUUGUAAACUUCUUUUGUCAGGGGACAAAAGAAGGCACGAGAGAAUGACCGAGGGUACUUGAAGAAAAAGCAUCGGCUAACUCCGUGCCAGCAGCCGCGGUAAUACGGAGGAUGCGAGCGUUAUCCGGAUUUAUUGGGUUUAAAGGGUGCGUAGGCGGACUGUUAAGUCAGCGGUAAAAGCACGGGGCUCAACCUAGACGAGCCGUUGAAAAUGGGUGUCUUGAGAUGUCGAGAGGUAUGCGGAAUGCGCAGUGUAGCGGUGAAAUGCUUAGAUAUCGCGCAGAACUCCGAUUGCGAAGGCAGCAUAC
rnacentral:rRNA from 1 species